UGGGGAAUUUUGGACAAUGGGCGAAAGCCUGAUCCAGCCAUGCCGCGUGCAGGAUGAAGGCCUUCGGGUUGUAAACUGCUUUUGUACGGAACGAAAAGACUCUGGUUAAUACCUGGGGUCCAUGACGGUACCGUAAGAAUAAGCACCGGCUAACUACGUGCCAGCAGCCGCGGUAAUACGUAGGGUGCAAGCGUUAAUCGGAAUUACUGGGCGUAAAGCGUGCGCAGGCGGUUAUAUAAGACAGAUGUGAAAUCCCCGGGCUCAACCUGGGAACUGCAUUUGUGACUGUAUAGCUAGAGUACGGCAGAGGGGGAUGGAAUUCCGCGUGUAGCAGUGAAAUGCGUAGAUAUGCGGAGGAACACCGAUGGCGAAGGCAAUCCCCUGGGCCUGUACUGACGCUCAUGCACGAAAGCGUGGGGAGCAAACA
rnacentral:rRNA from 3 species